UCGAGAAUCUUCGGCAAUGGGCGCAAGCCUGACCGAGCGACGCCGCGUGCGGGAUGAAGGCCUUCGGGUUGUAAACCGCUGUCAGAGGUGAGGAAAUGCGUGGUAGUUAUCUUCCAUGUUUGACCUAUCCUCAGAGGAAUUACGGGCUAAGUUCGUGCCAGCAGCCGCGGUAAUACGAACCGUACUAUCGUUAUUCGGUUUCACUGGGCUUAAAGCGUG
rnacentral:rRNA from 1 species